rnacentral:lncRNA from 1 species
GUUUGGUUUGCCAUCACUUUUUGUGACUUUUCUGACAUCUGCAAGUGUCGGAAGUGUGACCUGAAACAUUUAAGGACACUUCUGCCUGAACCAUGGGCAGAUGUUUAGACUCCAAGAUACAGAGGAGGAGGGUCUUGGAGGUUUCUUAGUAUAAGUUCCUCCCUGUGGUACUUGCAGUUCCUACAAGGGGCUGUCAGAGAAACAAGCCGGAGCAGAAGAGCAAGACAUGGUCCUGGUGCAUGAAAGGAGCCUAAGAAAGAAGAGUGAAAGCUGCACGUGUGUGAGUAUCUAGCAGAACAUCUAGAAAAUGCACACCAACCUCCAGCAGCAGAAAACAGUCUACCUCCAGAAAGCCAUAAAAGAGAAAAGAAUGUUGUACCAAACUAAGCAAAUGAAGCAUGAAAUGAAAAGCCGGUUGAGCUGGGAGGUAUAAAGAAUGGAAAGGAAGCAGCUACCACCCCUGGUAACCCCAUCAAUCCGGAGAAGCUUCGCAGAGUUACACUGUGCUCUGUCGGGAAGGAAAUGAAUUUUCCUCAUUGUACACAUUCCGAGAAAAAUGAGGCUAAGACUAUUUCAAAGGAUGUUCUACCUAAUUCGAAUGGGCUUUAAGUGCCAUCUUCACAAUAGCGCCAGAGUCUGGUGUCAGCAAACUGAACAAAUAGAGCUACAGGGAGCGAAUGGGGCUGGGUGCCUCUCCAAAACAUAUGCAGAUGAACUUGAGAUUUCAGAGGACGGUUAAUCCUACACAGCAGUCAAGUGCCUUCCCAGGGAGCAUCCUGGCAGGCAUCCACUGUGCCAUAUGCUUUCGGGAAGUCUGGAUGCUGAAUGUGGUGGCUGUGGGGAAUUGAGCCUUAUUGCUUCAUAAGAUUCCUGGUGGUAGAACUAUUCUGAACAAGAACACGUCCGUCCCCAUAGGUGUGCUCCAAGAAUCACAGAAUAAGAAGGGACUUCGGAGAGAGCCUCACACAGUUGGGCAAUGGGAGCCCAGAGAGGCAAGGAAGGCUCCUUGCCCAAAGUCUUGUACAUCUGAAUCUGCAACUCCUGACUAUUUUUGAGUCUUAUGCUCCAGGCUAAAACUUGUGACUUUAAGUGUGAUGUUCUCGGUGAUGAUUAAUCUAGGAUGUUUCUGUUGUUUUCUUACCGUCAAAGAAUUAACAUCAAAAGGAAAGGAAGGAAGAAAUGUAGAAGUGAAGGCAAGAAGGAAGGAAGGAGGAAAGGAAGGAAGGAAAAUAUAGGCUUUGGGUAAAAAUAAGUUUCUACUCAACACUGACAAAGGUACAGGUUUUGGACAUUGGUUUCCUAAUCUGUAAAUGAGGAAUAGUCAUCACAUCGCUGUCCUGGCUGGUUUUGUGUGUCAACUUGACACAAGCUGGAGUUAUCACAGAGAAAGGAAAGAAAAUGCCUCCAUGAGAUCUAGCUGUAAAUGGAUUAGUGAUCAAGAGUGGGAGGGCCCAGUGUGGGUGGUGCCAUCCCUGGACUGGUGGUCCUGGGUUCUACAAGAAAACAAGCUGAGCAAGCCAGGGGAAGCAAGCCAGGGGAACAUCCCUCCACGGCUCUGCAUCAGCUCCUGCUUCCUGCCCUGUGUGAGUUCCAGUCCUGACUUCCUUUGGUGACGAACAGCAAUGUGAUAGUAUAAGCUGAAUAAACCCUUUCCUCCCCAAC